rnacentral:rRNA from 1 species
UACGUAGGGGGCUAGCGUUGUCCGGAAUCAUUGGGCGUAAAGGGCGCGUAGGCGGCUUCUUAAGCGUGUGGUGAAAGCUCGGGGCUCAACCUCGAGUCGGCCAUGCGAACUGGGAGGCUUGAGCACUGUAGAGGCAGGUGGAAUUCCGGGUGUAGCGGUGGAAUGCGUAGAGAUCCGGAAGAACACCGGUGGCGAAGGCGGCCUGCUGGGCAGUAGCUGACGCUGAGGCGCGACAGCGUGGGGAGCAAACAGG